rnacentral:rRNA from 1 species
UUCCCCCCGCGAUCCGACGGUCUGUGCCUAGCGACCCGGGCUUGGUUGGUAUUUCGUAGUAUGUCGUGUACCCCGUCCGUCGGGCGAAAGGGAAUCCGGUUCCUAUUCCGGAACCCGGUUGCGGAACCGCACUCACGAUUCUCGUAUUGACACGGUAACGUGAAUGAGCCCAGAGAUGCCGCCUGGAGCCCCGGGAAGAGUUUUCUUUUCUGCAUGAGCGAUCGGGUUCCAUGGAAUCCUCUCGUAGGGAGAUAUGGAAUGGAUCGCGAAGAGCACCGCAGUUGCUGCGGUGUCCGGGGAGUCCCGCCGGCCCUUGAAAAUCUGGGUGAGGAUCACGUGGAGGCGUCGCACCGGUUCGUACCCAUAUCCGCAGCAGGUCUCCAAGGUCAAGAGCCUCUGGUCGAUAGAU